ACGUGAUACACUACUUCUUUCCAAGCCAGAUUUCUGAAUUACUCUAAAGCUUGCUAUUAAUUUGUCAUCAUCAAUUCAUCUUUUAACUACAACAUGGAUCUGGAGAAAUUAUGUGAUUAUUUGAACGAAACUCAAAAACCUUCUGACAAUAUUGACACAUUUCCUGUUAAUAAAUUUUACAAGAUUCGUGGAAUGCAUCGUUCUUUAAAUCAUUUCUAUGGGUCGAAUGAAAUUAUUUUACUUAUAGACAAUGAAAUUAAUAUGAAGCUCCCGUUAUGGUACUCAGAGGAAUUUCUUAAGGACGAGGAAAAUUUUAAAAAAGAAUGCGAAAAGAAAAUUUGGAAAGUAGCGUAUAUAAGGAAAAAUGGCAACGAAACAAAUCGCAAGCACAUGAUAAAAAUUAGACGAAUUCAAUCUUCGCCACUGGACUAAAAGUCAUAUGACUAAAAGAAAAUUAAACAUGCCAGAGUAGCUUGGUAUCUUAUUGCAAAAUUGUAUUAAUAUUACGUAUUUUUCGUACUAACUUUCAUAUCAUAUUAGCUUCUAUCACAAUUUUAUUUGAGAAAUCUCUUCAAACUCCUUCGUGGAAACUCAUUAAUAUAUUUUCUGAUAACCAA